UACAGAGGUCUCAAGCGUUGUUCGGAUUCAUUGGGCGUAAAGGGUGCGUAGGUGGCGCCGUAAGUCGGGUGUGAAAUUUCGGAGCUUAACUCCGAAACUGCAUUCGAUACUGCGGUGCUUGAGGACUGGAGAGGAGACUGGAAUUCAUGGUGUAGCAGUGAAAUGCGUAGAGAUGUGGAGGAACACCGAUGGCGAAGGCAGCCCCCUGGGUCAACACUGACGCUCAUGCACGAAAGCGUGGGGAGCAAACAGG
rnacentral:rRNA from 1 species